rnacentral:piRNA from 1 species
UACAAUGCCACUGUAGCCUCAAGGUGCUGU